rnacentral:lncRNA from 1 species
ACCUGACGCUAGUGGGAGAUGGUCCGUGUUUUGACGAUGUUGUGUAAGACAUGAUUGUCAUUUCUUCCUUUUCUCCAAUGUUGUUGGAGGAGAUUGGCCAUGGGGGCGGUUCACAUGCGUCCGUUGGGUGGCUCAUAUAAGCGAACACUACACCAAUACAUUGAUGGAGAAUGAUACAUUGAUGGAGAAUAAACCGUGGGGACGGUGGCUUGCACGCGUCUGUUGGGCGACUCGUACAGGCGAGCACUACACCGGUAUGCUGAUGUAGACCGGACUAGAGGGGUGGCGUCUUGCAUGCGUCUGUUGGGCGGCUCGUACACGCGAGCACUACACCGGCGUUUGAGUUGAAUGUGAGAGUUGUCUGGCGAUCUGGCACGGACUCGAGAAUAGGUCGCCGCGUGGUAAGCCGCCUUGGUUGCGCGUAUGUGAGAAUUGGCUGCAUCAUUGUAAGCCGCCUUGGUCGCGCGAACGUGAGAGUUGGCCGCAUCAUUGUAAGCCGUCUUGGUCGCACGGACGUGAGAGUCGGCGCAGUGCGACACGGACGAACGCCGAUUCAGAGUGAUUUUGGCACCUCCAUCUCCACGGUACCAUGCCGCUUUUGUAAUGAAUAAUUACCCUGCGUAUAAAGAUAUUAAAAGCCGAAAAUUAAUCUAGAAAAAAUGGCUGGUAUAUUUUUCUUGUGUCCAUAGCCAAGUGAAAAAAAGACUACUAGCUGAUUUCAUGUGGCUUUGUAGUACUCCUGUUUUGUAAUAUCACCAUUGGUCCCACGUACAUCCUAUCCAUCCACCAAGAAAUAUCGUGCUGCAUUCUUUUAGGGAAACACUUACAAUCAGAAGUCUGAUUGGAAGAAAAUCGUCAGACGGAUGGACUGUCGUUGAUUGAUUUAGUUGAAUCUCACCGUAAAGAUACUGCUUAUCCUAUUGCUUGGUAUUUAAAAUAAAUCCCGUCAAACCGCCCGCAUGGGCGGCGCUUUACCCAUCCCUAAUUGCUCGCCCGAAUCCCCUCCCCUCGCCUUGCACCCCGACGUACCGCCCGUGCGCUCGCCAUCAACCGCAUCACAUCUUCAUCUUCAACGGCGCAUCGUGCACGAGCUCGCCGCACAUCCCAUGUUUCCUCGUCGUCGAGGACCAGGACCAUAGUGUUGAAGUAAUCCAAACAUGUUUAUUUUAGUUUGGUUAGUACAAGUGUGAUUAAGGUGGACGGUGAUUAGGAGAGUCCGGUUAGGUGUCUACGUUGGCUUGUGCUGGUCAUGUUAGGAAAGUUGAGUCCAUGUUAGUUCCAUGUAGUAGUCCGUAUAGGAUUUGUACAUGGUGAUGUGCCCGGUUGUGCUCAUGUACGAGUACUAGUUCGAGUCGGCUUUGUAAGCCAACGUUUCUGAUUGUGCGCCUUUAUAUACAUAGGCACGGCUAGCUAUUGUAGCACCAGAAAAAUGAUAAAAGCAAUAAAGAGAUUAUUACGAGGUACGACACGUGCCUCUGGCCAUCUUUGUGUUGCUGCGUUCGCGUGCGUGUGUUCUGGUCCCGGUGUUUGCGUAAGCGCCGGUGAGAUAUCGAGUGCUACAACUGUUCGUAUACGUUGAGCCGAGUUGCACGUACACGACUAGUUGAGCUGCAGGAUGAUCGUGUGUUCGAUUCUGAGGACGAAAAGCCAACACAGAGGUACCCCCAUCGUGUAGAUCCGCCCCUGCUCCUUUCAACUGCAGAUCGCUGGUGCCGUCCCGGGAUUAGGUGUGCAGUUGGUGUUUCUCCAGCUCACCCUAGGAUCAGUUGCCAGAGCAGGCACCGACCGGCCUGAAAACCUGUAGUGGCCUCCUGCACCCUCCCCACCACCCCUCCCUAUUCUAAUAUUUAUUUGCCAAAUUGCAAAAAGAAAUUGUAAUGUACAAUCUGCCGAGUAGUCUGCAAGAUUGUUCUGUUGAUGUAUUAGGUAAUUAGUCAUCAAAUUUUGUUUUUGUUGGAUUAUUUAGAUCUUCCAGUCAUCCAUAACUAUGUAGGCAUGCAAUCUUAGGUAGUACCUAGCAUCAUUGCUUCCAAUGAAGAUAAUAAUUGUAUUUUUCUUUUCCUUUUUUGCUGGUGAAGAUAAGAAUUGUUGAGUAAAUAACCUUUCAUUGGUUCAUGUAUACUGAGCUCCUAAAAACAUGCCUCCAGCUAGUAGUAUAUAUGUUACCACACCAUAUUGUUCAUGCUCAUUAACCAUUGUGCUUCUACAUUGUCAUGUAUAUGCUUCUCUCAGCAAUGGAGUUUGCUUCUUAGGAGCUUUAUAUGUACAGAUGCUUUAAGCCAGUUCAUUCUAGUUUGUGAUGCACAUAUAUUAAUCUGUGUAAUUAGCAUUUUUAUUCAGAGCGUUGCCUCAAAACAUCUGUGAUUUCAGUUCACAUGUAAAGUUACGUCUUAGAAUUCAUGCUAUCUAGGUGCUUCCAUGCUUCCCAUGUACAUACAGAAUUAUAUAGUCAUGCGUCUUGAUUUUACUAUAUUUUGUUUCAAGUGCGUGUGGAGUAUUUUAUUUAUCUUUUUAAAACCAAGCUUCAUUAUAGUGUGAUUUCUCUUUCUUGCAAAGCCCCCUUAAGUUUGUGUAAUUAUCCUUUUCCAAUCUAAUAGUAGUGCAUAUAUAUUUCACUGAUGAUGCCUAGAGGUAUAUUUAUUUUUUCGUUCUAUAUCUUUCCUCGGGAGAUUCUUCGUCAUCAUUUGUAACACUAUGCUUCCAUGCUUAACAAAAUUAGGAUGACACGAUCAUCAAGGCAUUUGCUAGUAUAUCUAACUGUUUUCCUUCCAUUCUAUUUUAUUAUUGCUUCAAAAGGGCAAAAUUAUAUGCUUCAAACAUAUUGUUGUUUUUCCACACUUGUUCUGCAAACAUAGCUUGCUUAUAUGCUUUCAAUCAAACCUUUCAUUGCUUCGGUUGGAAUGGUGAUUUGCUUCAAGCAAUUCAAGGAUGAUUUGGAUGGUGUUGGAAUCACCAAGUCGUCAGGAGCAAUAUUUACUUAUGUUUGAGCACCAUUGCAUGGACUUGAGUCUUCUUCAAGCCGAUAAAAGCUGAUCGAUGGGUUGCUCGUGUGCCAAAAUAAAGUGCUUGUUGGGAAGCUACACCAGAUGCAUCAACUUGAUGGCUACAUUGUCACAUCCCAUACGACAACAUCAUGUAGGAAGCUUAGUAGGAAUAAUUACGAGUUUAUUUGAGCAUGUAUCCAAUUUGAAUUUUAUGUCUAUAAAACUAUGGAAGCAUAAUUUUCUGCCCAUGUAAGUAAACUGAGCACAUACGUGUAACUGUAUUCCCCAGAAACACUAUCCGUGUUAUGUUUCAAGCAUGCGUCGUAAUGAUAAUCGUAAAAAAUGUCUUAUUGGUUAGAAACAAUUGUCUAUUUUAUGGAAGCAAUAUUUUUUAUGUUCUUAAAGUAAAACACUACAUAAGUACUAAUUUCUAUCAAAUUACAGCAAGUUUGAUUCUCGAUGGAAGCUAAUUCAAUAGUCGAUGGAAGCAAUUUUCACCGUGGAAGCAAAAUAUUUAAAUAACACAUUUAAAACCAGAAGCAAACUUGAAAAAUAAUGGAAAUAAUAUCUGCUUGGGAAGCAAACCUGUAUGGAGAGUUGGAGACCAAAAUCGAUGAGCUUAAUUUGGGGGUUAAUUCCAUGCAUGUACGGUUAAAAUUAGAUUGGCCUGGUUCAAGGAAGCAUUAUGGAAACGAAUCACAAUUAAUGCAUACCCAAAUUAGGCUCCUCAAUACGUGGAUCUAACUAGCAAAUGAGACGAUUAUGUUGCUAGUAAUCUGAUGGUCUACGACUAGUCUGAUAGGAUGCAAACAUCAGUAGUCUGAUGCAUAGCCUUAGGAUGCAAACAUUCUUUUACCUGUCUCUGACUCCUCCCCCUUCCGCUUUUCUUUAUCCAGACGAGAAACUGCUCACCCGGUCGUGUUAUAAGCUGGGCGAACGCAGGCACGGACGGCUGCUCGCGUGGUGGGGGUGGAGCCAGCCGCAAAUGAGGCGGCGGAGGUGAGCGAAGUAGGUGAAGCCGCGGUAGAGGGAGCGGCGCAGCGUGGUGGAGUCAGCAUGCGGCGGCAGAGACGCGGUCGGGCGAGGCUUAAGACCUGCCACGGCAUCUCGAUGCGAGGUCAUCGAGGCAACUGCGGUGGCUGGUGACUCGGAACGAGGUUGCGUGGGGGUCGGCAGUGUGCAAGCACGAGUGCCUCGGCAUCCUUGGUAGGGAAGGGAAANNNNN